rnacentral:lncRNA from 1 species
CCAGGCCCGCUACUAACAGUGGUUCCCACUCCAGUCACUCUACUACAGUGGUUCCCAACCCAGUCCUCCACUACAGUGGUUCCCAACUCCAGUCCUCUACUACAGUGGUUCUCAACUCCAGUCCUCCAGUCCUCUACUAAACAGUGGUUCUCAACUCCAGUCUCCAGGCCUAUACUACGUGGUUCUCAACUCCAGUCCUCCAUCCCUCUACUACAGUGGUUCUCACGCCAGUCCCCUGUCCUCUACUACAGUGGUUCCCACACCAGUCCUCUACUACAGUGGUUCCCAACUCCAUUCCUCUACUACAGUGGUUCCCACUUCCAGGGUCCCAACGCCAUCCUCUACUACCCAGUGGUGUUCCCAACGCCAUCCUCUACGCCAGUGGGUCCCAACUCCAGUCCUCUACUAGCAGGGUUCCCAACGCCAGUCCUCUACUACAAGUGGUUCCCAACUCCGUCCUCCAGUCCUCUACACUA